GAGCUGGCCUAGGUGGUUGUUGGAAAGUCUGAGCCGUGUAAUGACUGGCAAAAGCUUGAUGAGGAUGUGCGCCAUGAGCAUGCGGUUGUUGAAGCGUACUUGGUGGACUGGAGAGACCAACUCUCGAUGAAGUCGAUAUCGAAUUAGGACCCAUCAUGGAGACCAAUGAAUUCGGUGUAGGUGGUAACUGAUGACCGGUUGCCGGUUGUUGAUACGCUGAUGUAGCUGGUACUACCGGGGAUACUUGAUGACUCAUAUGCACAGUCGUAGUAGACGACGUAGGUGGAAGCAACGUACUUGGAUACGUCACCGACGUUGGAAGACUGUAACCUGGUGUUGAAGAUGGUAAUCUCGUUGAAUCCCCGGUCAACUGAUGAGACAUCCCAUUCCCGUGAUGAGACGAAUAGAUCUCUGGAACUUUUAAUUUUGGUAUUAAAAUCUGACGAGAAAAUCGGAAGAAAAAGAUAUUCGUUUGUGAGAUAAACUUGUGUGGCACUUUAUUAUCUAAUUCUAAUUUGAAUUAUUGAAUGAAUUUAUGAACAAAGAAAAAUUCAGAAGAGGAAAGACACAAUCAAAAAAUUAAUAUUAUAUUCUUUCAUAACAGCUAUAAUUUGAAUAUUAUUAUAAAGCGAAAAGAAAGAGAACGUCAUACAAUUUUUCUUUUGCCAUCGCACGAAUUCAACAAAGAAAAAUUGCGACUUAAGAGAAAUAAAAAGAACAAUUCAAUAUGGAAACACCUAUAGAUUUUCAAUAUGACAAAAAGAAACCGUCUAUAAUUUAACUUAUAAAUUAAUGGAGUAAACAAUUUAAUCGUUCGCACGAACCCAACGAGAGGAAAAGACUUUGACUUUUGACAAUUUAAGAGAAAUAAGAAAUUUAAUAUCAAACAUACUGUUUGAAUAUUUUUUUAUAUGAAAACUAUAAUACCAGCUGUAUUGUCCCAACUAAGAUAUAACUAUGUAUAAUAUAUACUAUCACAUAUAUCGAGGAAGGAAAAAUUAUGAUUAGAAAAAAAAUUAUAAAUAAAUAAAUAAAUAAAUAAAUAAAUAAAUAAAUAAAAGAAAAAAAAGAAGAAAACCAAAGAAGAUAGAACCAAAGAAUUUGAUAUUUACCUUGACUGGAGGAAAAUGCCGCAUCCGGAAGAGUCUGUCCAUGAGGAUGUGGAU